rnacentral:rRNA from 1 species
AGUCAACCUGCCCUUGGGCCGGGAAUAAUCUCGGGAAACUGAGGCUAAUGAACGAUAGGUCAAGACUCCUGGAAUGGGUUUUGGUCUAAAUGGCGUGACAGCAUCUUGUCAUGUCCGCCCAAGGAUGGGACUGCGGCCGAUCAGGCUGUUGGUGGGGUAAAGGCCCACCAAGCCAGUAACCGGUACGGGCUUUGAGAGAAGGAGCCCGGAGAUGGACACUGAGACAAGGGUCCAGGUCCUACGGGGCGCAGCAGGCGCGAAACCUUCGCAAUGCGCGCAAGCGCGACGAGGUUAUUCCGAGUGAUUUCCGCUGAGGAAAUCUUUUCUUAGAUCUAAAAAGUCUGGGGAAUAAGGGGAGGGCAAGUCUGGUGUCAGCCGCCGCGGUAAUACCAGCUCCUCGAGUGGUCAGGGCGUUUAUUGGGCCUAAAGCAUCCGUAGCCUGCUUGGUAGGUCUCCUGUUAAAUCCAACGGCUCAACCGUUGGUCCGCAGGAGAUACCGCUAGGCUAGGAGGCGGGAGAGGCGGACGGUACUCCGAGGGUAGGGGUAAAAUCCUUUGAUCCCCGGAAGACCACCAGUGGCGAAGGCGGUCCGCCAGAACGCGCUCGACGGUGAGGGAUGAAAGCUGGGGGAGCGAACCGGAUUAGAUACCCGGGUAGUCCCAGCUGUAAACGAUGCGAGCUAGGUGACACGACGCC